rnacentral:tRNA from 2 species
GGGGCUAUAGCUCAGCUGGUAGAGCGCUUGCAUGGCAUGCAAGAGGUCAGGGGUUCGAAUCCCCUUAGCUCCA